ACGGCCUCAGAUCAGGUAGGACUACCCGCUGAACUUAAGCAUAUCAAUA
rnacentral:rRNA from 1 species